GAUUAUUUAGUUUAAAAUAAAACAAAUGUUUUGAAAGCAUUAAAUAAGAGCACUCUUAAUAAUCU
rnacentral:tRNA from 1 species